UACAGAGAGUGCGAACGUUGUUCGGAAUUACUGGGCUUAAAGCGCACGUAGGCGGCAUCGUAAGUGUCCGGUGAAAUCCCACGGCUCACCCGUGGAACUGCCUGGCAGACUGCGAUGCUCGAGUGUGGUAGGGGAGAGCGGAACUCCUGGUGGAGCGGUGAAAUGCGCAGAUAUCAGGAGGAACACCAGUGGCGAAGGCGGUGCUCGUGGGCCGGUACUGACGCUGAGGAGCGAAAGCGUGGGGAGCAAACAGG
rnacentral:rRNA from 1 species